rnacentral:lncRNA from 1 species
UUGUAAAAAUCGUAUUGUUUAACACUUCGUUGAAGUUACACCACUCGUGUAACUGAAGGUCUGAAUCAUAUUUUCAACAAAAUACCUAAUCUCGGGAUCAAUUUCCAAUACCAAACUACAUGAAGACCUACAGUCCAAUGAUCUUGACGUAGUUCUUGAAUGAUCUGCACCCAAGUGUGAACACAGUAGGAGAGUUCGAGUCUGAGUGACAAACGAGAUAGAUCAGGCAAUUCACUAGCAUGCAAGAGAGCCAAACAAAAGCUGCUUUUGCUCCUAGAUGAGUUUCUCAUAUUAUAUCUAAACUUAGAAAAUGAAUACGUAAGACAACUUUGUCUUCAUACACUUGCACACAAGGACUUAAAUUCCAGAGGACUAAUCGAACAUCAUCAUUCAUCCAUAGACACCAUUGUUUUUACUUUUAGGUACGAAUGAAAAAAGCUUGAGAUCAACAAUGGAGAAAGCCCCUCAAAAGUACAGGCUUUUUGAGAGUAUUAGAAGAAGGUUCCUUCAGGAGGUUGAACAAGCUUCCGGUUAUGCGAUGCAGCCAUCUCCUUCUUCAAAUGAGUCAGUAUGUCCUCCAUUGUGUACUCCCU